rnacentral:rRNA from 1 species
UUGAACGCUGGCGGCAGGCCUAACACAUGCAAGUCGAGCGGAUGAAGGGAGCUUGCUCCUGAAUUCAGCGGCGGACGGGUGAGUAAUGCCUAGGAAUCUGCCUGGUAGUGGGGGACAACGUUUCGAAAGGAACGCUAAUACCGCAUACGUCCUACGGGAGAAAGCAGGGGACCUUCGGGCCUUGCGCUAUCAGAUGAGCCUAGGUCGGAUUAGCUAGUUGGUGAGGUAAUGGCUCACCAAGGCGACGAUGCGUAACUGGUCUGAGAGGAUGAUCAGUCACACUGGAACUGAGACACGGUCCAGACUCCUACGGGAGGCAGCAGUGGGGAAUAUUGGACAAUGGGCGAAAGCCUGAUCCAGCCAUGCCGCGUGUGUGAAGAAGGUCUUCGGAUUGUAAAGCACUUUAAGUUGGGAGGAAGGGUUGUAGAUUAAUACUCUGCAAUUUUGACGUUNCCGACAGAAUNANCACCNNCUANCUCUNUG